rnacentral:lncRNA from 1 species
GGAACCAGACUCUGUCCGAACUUCUGUAGCGGAUAGAUUCCGGAUGAACUCCUACAAUGCACGGGCUCCAGCAGCCGAACCCCUCCAGUGGGUGAACCUCUCCAGCGCCAUCCGACAUCCGCUGUCGGUCGACCUUCUGUCGGAUUCUGCAUGGAACUGAAUUUCAUCCACAGAAAGCCCCUGACCGAGCUUCUACAAUAGAU